rnacentral:rRNA from 1 species
CCUACGGGAGGCAGCAGUGAGGAAUAUUGGACAAUGGGCGCAAGCCUGAUCCAGCCAUGCCGCGUGCAGGAUGAAGCAUCUAUGGUGUGUAAACUGCUUUUGUACGAGAAGAAACACUGCUUCGUGAAGCAGCUUGACGGUAUCGUAAGAAUAAGGAUCGGCUAACUCCGUGCCAGCAGCCGCGGUAAUACGGAGGAUCCAAGCGUUAUCCGGAAUCAUUGGGUUUAAAGGGUCCGUAGGCGGCCUUAUAAGUCAGUGGUGAAAUCUCACGGCUCAACCGUGAAAUGGCCAUUGAUACUGUAGGGCUUGAAUUAUUAGGAAGUAACUAGAAUAUGUAGUGUAGCGGUGAAAUGCUUAGAGAUUACAUGGAAUACCAAUUGCGAAGGCAGGUUACUACUAAUGGAUUGACGCUGAUGGACGAAAGCGUGGGUAGCGAACAGGAUUAGAUACCCUGGUAGUCCACGCCGUAAACGAUGGAUACUAGCUGUUGGGGCGAACCUCAGUGGCUAAGCGAAAGUGAUAAGUAUCCCUACCGUCGGUUAGGUUACGUUCGUUCGAAGAAGAGGACGUUACGAAGGAAGUUAGUUACGGCGUUGAGGACGUUAGCCGAACGGGACGACGACGAGGGGAAGGUUAGGAG